rnacentral:rRNA from 1 species
GACGAACGCUGGCGGCGUGCCUAAUACAUGCAAGUCGAGCGAAGUUUUUCUGGUGCUUGCACUAGAAAAACUUAGCGGCGAACGGGUGAGUAACACGUAAAGAACCUGCCUCAUAGACUGGGACAACUAUUGGAAACGAUAGCUAAUACCGGAUAACAGUAUUUCUCGCAUGAGAGAUAUUUAAAAGUUGGUUAUGCUAACACUAUGAGAUGGCUUUGCGGUGCAUUAGCUAGUUGGUGGGGUAAAGGCCCACCAAGGCGACGAUGCAUAGCCGACCUGAGAGGGUGAUCGGCCACACUGGGACUGAGACACGGCCCGGACUCCUACGGGAGGCAGCAGUAGGGAAUCUUCCGCAAUGGGCGAAAGCCUGACGGAGCAACGCCGCGUGAGUGAAGAAGGAUUUCGGUUCGUAAAGCUCUGUUGUUAGGGAAGAAUGGAUAUGUAGUAACUAUACAUGUAAGAGACGGUACCUAACCAGAAAGCCACGGCUAACUACGUG